rnacentral:rRNA from 1 species
UACGGAGGAUCCAAGCGUUAUCCGGAUUUAUUGGGUUUAAAGGGUGCGUAGGUGGUUUUUUAAGUCAGGGGUGAAAGACGGCAGCUUAACUGUCGCAGUGCCUUUGAUACUGAAGAACUUGAAUUAACUAGAGGUAGGCGGAAUGUGACAAGUAGCGGUGAAAUGCAUAGAUAUGUCACAGAACACCAAUUGCGAAGGCAGCUUACUAUGGUUAUAUUGACACUGAGGCACGAAAGCGUGGGGAGCGAACAGG